AAAUCAUUUUGGGGCCAAUUUCAAAGUAAUCCCUUGUAAUAAGGCUCCUGUGCUUGAUAAAGUUAUUCACCCGGUUAUUGAUCAAAGUUAGAUAUUACUUUCUUGAGUUU